rnacentral:rRNA from 1 species
AACGAACGCUGGCGGCAUGCCUAACACAUGCAAGUCGAACGAAGCCUUCGGGCUUAGUGGCGCACGGGUGCGUAACGCGUGGGAAUCUGCCCUUGGGUUCGGAACAACAGUUAGAAAUGACUGCUAAUACCGGAUGAUGUCUUCGGACCAAAGAUUUAUCGCCCAAGGAUGAGCCCGCGUAGGAUUAGGUAGUUGGUGGGGUAUUGGCCCACCAAGCCGACGAUCCUUAGCUGGUCUGAGAGGAUGAUCAGCCACACUGGGACUGAGACACGGCCCAGACUCCUACGGGAGGCAGCAGUGGGGAAUAUUGGACAAUGGGCGAAAGCCUGAUCCAGCAAUGCCGCGUGAGUGAUGAAGGCCUUAGGGUUGUAAAGCUCUUUUACCAGGGAUGAUAAUGACAGUACCUGGAGAAUAAGCUCCGGCUAACUCCGUGCCAGCAGCCGCCGUAA